rnacentral:lncRNA from 1 species
UAUGAUGUUUAUGUAAACCAACUCAACUUAUGUUAUGUCACCCAUUGGGGGCACUGAUGAGAUUCCACAGAGGGAUCAAUGUUAUGUUAAUGUUUAUGUACAGGUUGAGUUGGGUUGAUGUAUAUGCCAAGAAAAGUUUUAAUUUUUAUGUAUGUUGUUGAUCAUGUAUGGGAUUAUACAGGUUUACAGGUUAUAUGUCAGGCUUGCUACGGGUCC